CCUACGGGAGGCAGCAGUGAGGAAUAUUGGUCAAUGGGCGAGAGCCUGAACCAGCCAAGUCGCGUGAGGGAGUACUGCCCUAUGGGUUGUAAACCUCUUUUGUCGGGGAGCAAAAGCCGGACGUGUCCGGCUGUGAGAGUACCCGAAGAGAAAGCAUCGGCUAACUCCGUGCCAGCAGCCGCGGUAAUACGGAGGGUGCGAGCGUUAUCCGGAUUUAUUGGGUUUAAAGGGUGCGCAGGCGGAUUUUUAAGUCAGCGGUAAAAUCGUGGGGCUCAACCCCAUCCAGCCGUUGAAACUGGGGAUCUAGAGUGGGCGAGAGGUAUGCGGAAUGCGUGGUGUAGCGGUGAAAUGCAUAGAUAUCACGCAGAACCCCGAUUGCGAAGGCAGCAUACCGGUGCACAACUGACGCUCAGGCACGAAAGCGUGGGUAUCGAACAGGAUUAGAUACCCUUGUAGUC
rnacentral:rRNA from 1 species